CUCCUGACCUCAAGUGAUCCCACAUGCCUUGGACUCCCAAAGUGCUGGGAUUACAGGUAUGAGCCACUGCACCCAGCAAAUUAACUUUUUCAUGUAGAAAACAGAUCACAGAUAAAAGCUCCUCACAUAUUUUGAAGGUCAAAAGAAAAUUUGCUGUUGUUAAUAAUUGCCUUUGAACCAUCAAAGAGGAAAAACUAAGACUAUUUGAGCAACUUGUUGAGACUUAAACUAACUUAUCAAACUUAGCAGAAUUAAUUUGUGAGUAUUAAGUGAAGUUAGUUUAUAUAGAUGCUUCAUCUUUUCUGUUCUAUCAUGUGAAUGAAAUGGCUUACAGUAAGUUCAUACACAGUUACUUUUAUCUACAAAUGUAGAAAUCUUACCUAUUUGAGAUUUACUCCCUGAAACUAUGCAUAUUGAGAGAGAGUUCAUAGAAAUAUUAUCUGAGAAACCUGAGUUUGAUUUUCUCUUUGUGACAUACCUGUUAAUGUCACUUUUAAACAAACCACUUAACCUAUGUCAUCUUCAGUUUCUUCUGUAAAGUGCUGAUAAUAAUGAUACCUACCAGUAUUGUUAUGAAGUUCAAAUGGGGCCCCCUAUCCACAACACUUAGUAGGUGUUAAAUGAAUGUAUUUUGGUACUUGAACAAAAAGUGGUUAGUUAUGAUAGUUUAUUUUUUUCUAACAAAUUUACUAUCUUAUAUAAAAAGAAAUAGCUAGGACUUCCUGUGGUAUCCUAUCAUUUUUUUACAAUCAAACAAAAUUAAUAUUCUCCUCUGACUAAACCAUUAAUUUAACAAAUCUCAAACCUCUACUAUAUGCCAAUAAGUAUUCUAGGCCUGAGUGUAUUGCAGGGCACAAAACAGUUAUUUCUGACCCUUAUGGGAUUUUUAUUUUAAUUGGUUAGUAAAAUAGUUUACCAUAUGGUGACAAGGUUAUAUGGGGAAAGUAAGUUGAGGAAGAGGUUGAGAGAGUGUGUGAGGAUAGGAUUGCUAAUAAGUAGACUGUACACUGAUAUUUUGUAAUUUUAAGUCAGGACAUGGAUGAAACCACUCAGAGAGUAAGUGUAGCCAGAGGAUAGCACUUAAUUGUAGACAUGUAAUCAAUUAAAUUCAAGGCCAACUUUUGUGACUUUUCAAGUAGAAAUAAAAUGUUAACAUUUUCUACCACACAUAUACAAACCAUUAUUUUCUAUAAUGUUAUAGAAGCACUAAGAUUUAAGAAGCAAGAUUGAUAAUAGUUACCAAAUACAUAAGCAAAUGGCAAAUUGAGUUGAGGAGGGAAUGUCACUUUAUUCUUAAAAUGAAGCUUUUUGUUUUGAAAUAAUAGUUUUUUUGUAUUAAGAAUAACAUCUAGAGUGCUAGUUUCUUUUUCUCAUAGUUGGAAAUUGCUAUUCCAAUUCAAUUUGACAGUUUUAGCACUAGAGGGCAGGCUUACUUCUAGAUUUUGAAGAGUUCUAAAUGAAUAAUAUAGCUGAAGAGUGCAGGUUGUGCAUCCUUAACUCAAAAAUCUGAAAUUCAAAAUGCUCCAAAUCCAAAACUUUUUGAGUGUUGACAUGAUGCCACAAGUGGAAAAGUCCACACCUGACCACAUGUGAUGGGUCACAGUCAAAAUGCAAUGGCACAACAGUUAACUCUCUUCCCAAGAGAAAAGUAAAAUUAGCUUCAGGCUAUGUGUAAAACAUGUAUAUGAAACAAAUGAAUUUCAUGUUUAGGCUUGGGUCCUAUCUCCAAGAUAUCUCAUUAUGAAUAUGCAAAUAUUCAAAGAUUAAAAAAAAAAUCUAAAACACUUCUGGCCCCAAGCAUUUCAGAUAAGGGAUAUUGAACUUGUACCUACAUUCAAUCUCAAUGAAUGCAGUUGUUUCUUAUGUGACAAGCUUACCAUCUACUAUGUUUUUUUCUAGUGCUGGGAAAGCAUAAAAUAAGGCUAAUCGAUUUUAGUACAUCUAGGACUGGCAGUUGAUAUUAAUAUACAUUUGAACAUAAAGUCCAAGGAAACUCAAGUGUAGCUUACUAUAAUUAUACUCAGAUUUGAUAUAGAAGGUCUGCCACCACAUAUAUGAACAUUAAAGCCAGUCAGAAGAAAGCCUAGACGUAACAUUUUUUCAAAAAAAUAAUUAUUUGCUGGGCAUUAUAUGAGUGAGGCUACAAAGAUGAAUAAAAUACAGUCCCUGCCUAAAUAAGCUUUGUUGUAGCAUCUUACGGCACUUAAUACCUUGUUCUAUGUCUAUUUAAAUGUCUUUCUCCCUUGAAUAAUAGAAAUCCUGACUCUUAUUUUUGGUGCCUCCAAGUGCCCAUCAUACAUUUCAGUUUAUAGUGGUUGAACAUAAGAAUAAUGAGAGACAUGAAAAUAAGAAAACCAGGCCAGGGAACUGGGACCUUUGAAAAAAAACCUAUUUUCACAUUCUUACCCUUACAGAGAGGUUUUUCCUAUUAACAUGUCUAAAGGUGAUUAUGGAGACAAUUCUAACCUUCUAUCUUUGCUCCCACUUCUUCUAGCUGGCUUUAUCCCCCAUUCCUUAAGAGCAGUUAUUGGCAGCCAUAGAGAGUGGGAGAUCAAGCCUUUUUUUAUAGUCAUUGCAGUAAACAGGAGAGAGAGAUGUGGAAGAUGGGAGGUUCUCUCUAUCUGGCUUACAUCAUUUCGAGAAGUUUGACGGGAAAUGGAACCUUCUGGAAUGAAGUUUUUUUUCCCACUUUUCACCUGGAAAGUUUUCCCAUACAUGGUUCUCUUGCUCCCUGGUCCUUUUAGCAUCCCUAUUUCUACAUAUUAGUUCUAUCAUUUCCUUGUCUGUAACAUGAGGAUAAUAAUAGUUCUUAUAGGAUUAUUUUGAGGAUGAAAUAAAAUGCAUGCAGUAAAUAUUAGCUACUCUUUGCUAUCAGAAAAGCAUCAAUUGAACUUCACAGGAUGGAUUUGUGUUCAAUAAGUGUUAUAUAUAGUAGAGUCAAAUGGAAAAAUUUACCAAGAUAAAUUUUUUCAUUGAUAAUAUAUUUGGGGAGUACAUGUGAUAAUAUAUAUUCAUAUAAUUAAAUCAAGAUAAUUGGGAUUUAUAUCACCUUAAAUGUUUAUGUUUUCUUUAGGAACAUUCAAAUUCUCUUUAGCUAUUUUGAAAUGUGCAAUAGAUUAAUGUUAAUUAUAGUCAUCCUAAUGGUCUAUUGAACAUCAGGUCUUAUUUAUUCUAUCUACAUAGAUAUAUUUAGAAAUGCAAAUCUCUUAGGAAAUUAAUCUCUAAUGUCAAUGAUGCACACUAAUUUGUAUUAUUUGCUUUCUUAAUGUAGACGGUAUAGUGAAAUGGUUCCUUAAAUGGAUGCUAAAUAUGACUAAAUGAAUAACCAAUUUACAGUGCACUUGGUACCAAGUAGUAAAUGCUCAGUAACAUGUCUUUAAAAAAAGGAUUGGUUUAAUAUCAUAGAAAUGACUCUAUAUUUUAAAAAUAUAAAUAUUAAAAAUUAUAAAGCCAAAAUACUAUAAUGUCUUAUUACAAUGAUUCUCUUAAAUUAAUUUUUUUAAAAUUAGGUAACAGGAACCUAUUCCAAAACAAGUUUUAUCUAGAAGCACAGUAUUAAAAACAGAAAGCUAAAAUACUCCGGUUCAAGUGGGAAGCUCCUCUUCCCCACUGCUAGUAUUAUUUCUGAAAAACCUCAGAGGAACCCCUUGUUCUCUAAAUAGCAUGUUUUAAAAACCACUGCUUGCACAUUUACACCUUGACUCAUCAAACAUAUGAACAAAGUAAUAGAGUGAGAAAACUGAAUUUCUAUUGAAGUGGUUGGUGUUUGGAAUAACAUGAAAAAUAUUCCAAGUAUCUUUGGAAAUACACCAGAACUAUAAGCUUUAUGAUAAUUCUGUCUUAGAUUCGUUAUCUAGAGCUGGUCUUAAAAAGAUUGAUAUGUAAGAACUACCAAGAGAGACUUGGAGUAGAUAUACGAAUGAAUGAAUGAAUGAAUGAAUGAAUAUCCGUGGGCCAAGGCUUUGCUAUGCUCUCUUAUUACACAGGAUAACAGAGUAUGGCUCCUAAUUUCUACCUUUGAAGAUUAUGAUCCUUGAAACAGCUCUGUGCACAGAGACCAUGUUAUUCAUAGAUGUUCCUCACUUGUUUCCACCACAUAAUAAGGUAUUUAUUGAAUAAAUGCUUAUUGAAUGAAUGAAUGAAAAAACUUAUAUCUCACUUUGUUCCUAGACUGCAAGUUACUUAAAAGAUAUGGGCUGUGUUUUACUUACCUUUCAUGUCCAGCAAAUUGAGUUUGCUUACUAAAUUAAUGAAUUAAUGAACAAAUGUACACAUAUGUCUGUUAAACGUUUACAUAUCCAUGCUCCCAUUAGACUAAGAUUCUUGAGGGCAGAAACCAUGUCUUUAGCUCUCAGCAUAGUGUCUGACUCAUAGUAGGUUGUCAAAAACAUUUGCAGAACUGAUUAAACUUAAGUUUAAGUAGUACUGGAGCAGUCUCAUAUAACCUGGCACAGUGUCUUCUAAAUAGACGCUAAAAUUAUUUCAUAAAGACAGAGAUCUCACUAAGCAUUUUCUGUGCUAGUGCCGGUUAAAUAAUAUGAGCAACAAGCUAUAGGAGUUCAGAGGAGAGUGAGCUCUGUGGACUGAAACAGUCAAGGUGGAUUUUCAGAGCCGAUGAGACUUGAUGAAGCCUGGGGCUACUUUGGUGUUUUAAGAACAUUAAUUAGGCAGCAGGAAAAUCUGAGGACAGGUAGACCAGUAAGGAAGGCUAGAAAGAACCCUAGAUUUGGAGUUCGGAAAUCUGUGUUCAGAGUCCUUGCUUUGCCUGUUAGUGACUAUGGGACCUUGAGAAGAUAACUUCACCUCCCUUUUCCUCUUCUGUGAGGUAGAGGUAAGAUUGAUGUACAUAUUGAUAUUGUACUUUAAAAUGUUUGUAAAAUGCUAAGUAAAACAAUGCUAUGCUUUGAAUGUAGUGGGUUCCAAAUACUUGUUUAAACAUAGAAUAAAUGGUAUUGGCUAAUGAAAAUAUUGGAGCCACUGGAAUGUCACCUUCUGCAUCUGCUAGUAAACCUGUUAACACUUACGGAGGAAAAAAAAAGUUAAUAUGUGAAGCCACUGAAUCUCAUGAUCAGAAGAAAAACUUUUUGAAACUCCUAUGAGACUCCAAAGUUAUGUCAGAGGUGACUAAGUCAUGAGUUUUUCAUGCUGAUAUUAUUUCUAAGGUUGCUGCCUUGUUGGAAGAAGCAAACCACAAGAUAACCCAUUCAGAAAAUCUUUUUUUAAAAAAAAGCUUCCUGAAGGAUGGAUGGUUCAUUUGUUCUAACUGCUUGUCACUUUACUUACUAAUGAGUCAUUUUUCCCCUUAACUAGUAAUUUGUUUUAAAUUUGGUCAUAUGAUGGUAUGUUGACUAGUCCAAUGUUACAAAAUAAUUGGAAAAAAGAUGACAGACCACCAACUGAAUAAGGGAAAUUUGGUUCUUCUUGAGCUUCCAAUGUAUCAAUUUAAUGCUAAGCUUAGUCUUUAUGAUGUAAGAUUGGAUUUAUUGGAACGUUUUAUGUCCAGAAGUUGCAGCACCUUUUCAUUGUCUCUGGAACACCCAAGAUGUCUACUGCAUCCUGUAGACAUUGAGGGUUUCCCCCCUCAUCCUGGUUCUGAUUGUUUUUAAAGAAACAUCCUUUCCUUCUUACCCAUUAUGGAGACACUACUAACCUUGUAUAUUUAUUAGAGUGCUGAUAACAUAUUACAGUAGCAUACUUACAUAUCUGUUUUCUUAACUGUGAGCUCCUUGAGAGCAGGGACUAUGUGUUUUUGCUUUUAUUUCACCAGUACUCAGAACUAUCCACAGUAUAGAAAACCACUCAAUAAAUGGAACAAAUGAAAAUAGAUAAAUAAAUGAUUUCACUUGUAUAA